AAAAAUUAAAAAUUUUUAAUUUUUAAUUUUACUUGACAAAAUUAGGCGAGAUGUUAUGAGUAAAAAGAUAGAAAUAGACCUCAUCUGAUUUGAUUCAAUAGCAGAAAAUAUAUCACUCACCCGAUAAAAUCAUAUUUAAGUUUUCACUUUUUGAAUUCUCAUGUAAAAAGAAAAAUAGUAAUAAUUGACAUUAAAAAAAAAAAAACAACUGAACAGAAAUAGCCAGUUAAUGACUUUUAAAAGGAAAGUGAGGCCAAUUUGCAUUUGAGAAUUGACAAGCACUUGCAAAAAAUGUGAACCCAGAUGAGAAGUAGGGCCCUUCUUUUUUCCUUCUUUGAUAAUUAAUUUUUUUUAAAUAAUUUAUUUGAAAUGAUUUUUUUUUAUAAAUUUUACUUUUAGUUAAUCUUUUAAUCGACACAUUCAUAUGGACAUGUUUGAUGGGAAAAUACCUCUAUAAAUUCAAACCAGAGGGCAUGUGUUUUGACUAGAGUGAUAACAAGAAAAGACAACUCACCCAUACAAGGCCCCAGAGUUCCAAAUGUAGGUGAGACUGCCUCUAACGUAGAUAGCAAAUAAUAGGAACAAUGGACCCCAAACUCUUACAACUGGCUUGACUUACUUUAGCUCUUGUUAGGGUUUUCAUUAGUUCUCCCAUUGUCUUGGCUAAACUCACUCAAAUCAAUGUCACUUUUGAAAAAGAUUAUUAAUUUGAUGUUGUGACAAAGAUUUCAAUGCUUACAGUGAUGCCACACCACUUUUAUAUGUAUAUGGAUGAUCAUUAUUUGUGGGCAAUCUUGAAAUUGCAACCAUAUAUUUCUGAAGAUCAUUAGAGAAUAUAUCAAUCAUCAGGUCAUUCAAUUCUUGGUCAUCUUUAUCUUCAAUGAGAAAUGAAUUAAAGAACUAGAUUAUUAUCGACAGGAUAGGCUUCAUAUCCUAAGUUUUCAAUUCUUUAUUUGUAAGUUUACCAACAACUAUACAUACAUAUCUCUCUCUCUCUCUAUAUAUAU
rnacentral:misc_RNA from 1 species